rnacentral:lncRNA from 1 species
GUUGAAAAGACAAAUUAAAAGGGGUGUUGAAAAGUCAAAAAAAUGGGAGGUGCAAGUGGCACCAAAAGAAAAAAAUGGUAGGCAAGUUGUUUAAAGUUGAAUGGGAUAAUUGCAAUUUUGGUCCCUAAUUUUUUAGGCCAUUUGCAAGUUAGUCCCUGAACCUCAACUAUAAAUAGGCCUAACCAUUUCUCAUUUACACUAUCCCAACCAAUCUUUCUCUCUUAGUUUUCUCUCUUCUCCCAUUUGAGAAUUCUUAAGGAAUUCUAUUAGUUUGUAAUAUUU